UACGUAGGGUGCGAGCGUUGUCCGGAAUUAUUGGGCGUAAAGGGCUCGUAGGCGGUUUGUCGCGUCGGGAGUGAAAACCAUGGGCUUAACUCGUGGCUUGCUUCCGAUACGGGCAGACUAGAGGUAUGCAGGGGAGAACGGAAUUCCUGGUGCAGCGGUGAAAUGCGCAGAUAUCAGGAGGAACACCGGUGGCGAAGGCGGUUCUCUGGGCAUUACCUGACGCUGAGGAGCGAAAGUGUGGGGAGCGAACAGG
rnacentral:rRNA from 1 species